GAGGCAGGACUCAGGGAUGACCUCCACCAUGGCCUGGGCCCCUCUCCUCCUCACCCUCCUGGCUCACUGCACAGGAUCCUGGGCCCAGUCUGUGCUGACUCAGCCGUCCUCAGUGUCGGGGGCCCCGGGCCAGAGGGUCACCAUCUCCUGCACUGGAAGCAGCUCCAACAUUGGGAGUUACCACGUGUACUGGUUCCAACAGCUCCCAGGAAAGGCCCCCAAACGCAUCAUCUAUGGUACUAACAGUCGACCCUCAGGGGUCCCGGACCGAUUCUCUGGCUCCAAGUCUGGCAGCUCAGCCACCCUGACCAUCACGGGGCUGCUGGCUGAGGACGAGGCUGAUUAUUACUGCGAGUCCUAUGACAACAACCUCAGUGUGGUGGUGUGGGGGGGGGGGGCUCCCAGGACUCUAGGGGAAGGGGUCGCCCGGCCCCGUCCCCUCUGA